GAUCCAGACUUUGAUUCUGGCUCCGGAUGAACGCUAGCUACAGGCUUAACACAUGCAAGUCGAGGGGCAGCGGUAUCGAAAGCUUGCUUUCGGUAGCCGGCGACCGGCGCACGGGUGAGUAACGCGUAUCGAACCUGCCUCAUACUCGGGAAUAGCCUUGCGAAAGUAAGAUUAAUGCCCGGUGUUUUCAGAGUCCCGCAUGAGGCUUUGAACAAAGAUUUAUCGGUAUGAGAUGGCGAUGCGUCCCAUUAGCUUGUUGGCGGGGUAACGGCCCACCAAGGCAUCGAUGGGUAGGGGUUCUGAGAGGAAGGUCCCCCACAUUGGAACUGAGACACGGUCCAAACUCCUACGGGAGGCAGCAGUGAGGAAUAUUGGUCAAUGGGCGGAAGCCUGAACCAGCCAAGUAGCGUGCAGGAAGACGGCCCUCCGGGUUGUAAACUGCUUUUAGUUGGGAAUAAAACGGGGCUCGUGAGCCCCCUUGCAUGUACCAUCAGAAAAAGGACCGGCUAAUUCCGUGCCAGCAGCCGCGGUAAUACGGAAGGUUCGGGCGUCAUCCGGAUUUAUUGGGUUUAAAGGGAGCGCAGGCGGACCUUUAAGUCAGCUGUGAAAUACGGCGGCUCAACCGUCGAACUGCAGUUGAUACUGGAGGUCUUGAGUGCACACAGGGAUGCUGGAAUUCAUGGUGUAGCGGUGAAAUGCUCAGAUAUCAUGAAGAACUCCGAUCGCGAAGGCAGGCAUCCGGGGUGCAACUGACGCUGAGGCUCGAAAGUGCGGGUAUCAAACAGGAUUAGAUACCCUGGUAGUCCGCACAGUAAACGAUGAAUACUCGCGGUUUGCGAUACAUUGUAAGCCGCCAAGCGAAAGCGUUAA
rnacentral:rRNA from 2 species